AUCCUUAGGUCGCUGGUUCGAUUCCGGC
rnacentral:piRNA from 3 species